rnacentral:lncRNA from 1 species
UGGAACACUUCGAAUCUUUGGAGUCGCCAAUGUCUUCCUGCAGGUACCACCCCCCUGUCCCUCCCCAUCCUCCAUUCCCCUGUAGUUCCGUUUUUUCUUGAAGUCAUCCUACAUACCUGCAUAAUUAGGCACAUAUGCUAAAGUGAAACUAGUGCUAUAUUGCAUCAAAUGGUUAUUUCUGGAUUUGGUACCAGUUUUGGCCUGGCUUGUGCUUCAUACCUUGCUUUGGUUUUCAGUAGCAAGUAGUGCCUUAGUACCUUUUCUAUCAUCUGGUGUCCAUGGAUCGAAAUUUUGGCUAUUAUGUAUUUAUUGUAGUAUCAAGAAUUGCUCAAACCUGAAUUUCUUAGGCUGUACAUAUGGCUAUGCUCCAUUCUUUUGUGCAUUUUAAUUCAGUGUUGGUGUUGAUUUGAUGCCCAUGUUUAGAAACAAACUACUGUAGGAUAAAUAGGUUAAUCUUCUUGGUUUGUUCGUGUGCAGAUGACUGAUGAGCUGAUCAUCCACCAGUGGUAGCGGGAGGUGGUGCUGGAGCAGUACAUCGAUCAGCAGAUCAUCCUGCCAUUUGGGCAGAGAGAAGCUGGGACAGCCCUAAUGCAGUAACAUCACCAUGUGGCAAAUCCAGUAGAUUGACACAAUAUUGGUGCUUGGGUGACGGGACAAAGUAUGUGUACUAGUGAUGGUACACGAUAUUCGUGCUUCUCAUUGAUGUUAUGUGUGAUCAGCUAAAAUUUGUGCUUCUCGUCCAAUCUAUGUUGAUGUGCGCUUAUGCACUUGUUGGGCCUUGAACCUUGCUGUGUAGAGGAGUC